rnacentral:rRNA from 1 species
GACGAACGCUGGCGGCGUGCUUAACACAUGCAAGUCGAACGGAAAGGCCCUGCUUUUGUGGGGUGCUCGAGUGGCGAACGGGUGAGUAACACGUGAGUAACCUGCCCUUGACUUUGGUAUAACUUCAGGAAACUGGGGCUAAUACCGGAUAGGAGCUCCUGCUGCAUGGUGGGGGUUGGAAAGUUUCGGAGGUUGGGGAUGGACUCGCGGCUUAUCAGCUUGUUGGUGGGGUAGUGGCUUACCAAGGCUUUGACGGGUAGCCGGCCUGAGAGGGUGACCGGCCACAUUGGGACUGAGAUACGGCCCAGACUCCUACGGGAGGCAGCAGUGGGGAAUAUUGCACAAUGGGCGGAAGCCUGAUGCAGCAACGCCGCGUGCGGGAUGACGGCCUUCGGGUUGUAAACCGCUUUCGCCUGUGACGAAGCGGGAGUGACGGUAAUGGGUAAAGAAGCACCGGCUAACUACGUG